GAUGAACGCUGGCGGCGUGCUUAGCACAUGCAAGUCGAACGGUGAAGGCGGAGCUUGCUCUGCUGGAUCAGUGGCGAACGGGUGAGUAACACGUGAGCAAUCUGCCCCUGACUCUGGGAUAAGCGCUGGAAACGGCGUCUAAUACUGGAUACGAGCUGCGAAGGCAUCUUCAGCAGCUGGAAAGAAUUUCGGUCAGGGAUGAGCUCGCGGCCUAUCAGCUUGUUGGUGAGGUAAUGGCUCACCAAGGCGUCGACGGGUAGCCGGCCUGAGAGGGUGACCGGCCACACUGGGACUGAGACACGGCCCAGACUCCUACGGGAGGCAGCAGUGGGGAAUAUUGCACAAUGGGCGAAAGCCUGAUGCAGCAACGCCGCGUGAGGGACGACGGCCCUCGGGUUGUAAACCUCUUUUAGCAGGGAAGAAGCGAAAGUGACGGUACCUGCAGAAAAAGCGCCGGCUAACUACGUG
rnacentral:rRNA from 1 species